rnacentral:lncRNA from 1 species
CGUCAAAAAGGCAAAACAACUGUGUACUCGAAGUGGAGACGGACUGUCAGGUGGUUGUGUGCGUCUGGGACAGGACGCAGGUCCCUGUGUGGACAGAUUAUCAGGAAGAUGAAGUCAUGGGUUUCCUCCUUCCAGGGUUUUAGAUUACGCUUUUCUAGAAAAGCUGCUAAUCGGGCCGCACAUUGUUGUGCUCGUGCCGCUCUUUCGUUUGAUACUUCUCAUAUUUAUUUUGCUAAUAUUCCUGUUUUUUUGAUUGAGCAUGUUCAAUCGGAUUUGUUCGAUGGAAUAAGCCUCGAGCGAUGUUCUAAUUUUUUUUUUCUAUGUUCCGUACUAAUCAACUGAACUGUUUGGUUCGUGCUUGCAGAGUUUUUAUUUAAUUUUCUGUGGUUACUGCGCACGACACACACACACGAGGAAUUUUGAAAAUCUACGAAAAUUGAACCGUUCAUUCCUGUAAAAUAAUACUCCUACUGCCACGAGUAAGUAUAUUCCAGGGAGACAUGGCACGUGGGUGUGGAAGCAGAAUUAGCAUGCAUGCGUCAAGACUCUGGAUAUAUACGUUCACACGCGCGCAUAUAGCCAUAUAUCCACUCCCGAUUCCUCAGAGCGUAUCCAUGUGAAUCUAGCGCUGUCUGUCGACGUUUACGUGUUCAGCUGAGCAGCUAGCGGCGCAAGUGAAUCUGUCUACCGAAAAGAGCCGAGUCACACACGGGCACGGCACUGAGCUUUCCUUGUCUAACCAUAACUAACCA